GAUCCGGCUCAGGACGAACGCUGGCGGCGUGCUUAACACAUGCAAGUCGAACGGAAAGGCCCUGCUUUUGUGGGGUGCUCGAGUGGCGAACGGGUGAGUAACACGUGAGUAACCUGCCCUUGACUUUGGGAUAACUUCAGGAAACUGGGGCUAAUACCGGAUAGGAGCUCCUGCUGCAUGGUGGGGGUUGGAAAGUUUCGGCGGUUGGGGAUGGACUCGCGGCUUAUCAGCUUGUUGGUGGGGUAGUGGCUUACCAAGGCUUUGG
rnacentral:rRNA from 1 species